CAGCCGCCACGGUAAUACAGAGGGUGCAAGCGUUAAUCGGAAUUACUGGGCGUAAAGCGCGCGUAGGUGGUUCGCCAAGUUGGAUGUGAAAUCCCCGGGCUCAACCUGGGAACUGCAUCCAAAACUGGCGAGCUAGAGUAUGGUAGAGGGUGGUGGAAUUUCCUGUGUAGCGGUGAAAUGCGUAGAUAUAGGAAGGAACAUCAGUGGCGAAGGCGACCACCUGGACUGAUACUGACACUGAGGUGCGAAAGCGUGGGGAGCAAACAGGAUUAGAGACCCCUGUAGUCCCUGUCUCUUAUAC
rnacentral:rRNA from 1 species